AACGUAGGACGCGAGCGUUAUCCGGAGUUACUGGGCGUAAAGGGUGGGCAGGCGGCCGUGUCAGAUGGGUGUGAAAUCUCCCGGCUCAACCGGGAGGGGCCACUCGUGACUGCACGGCUGGAGGCAGCAGAGGCGCGUGGAAUUCCGGGUGGAGUGGUGAAAUGCGUAGAGAUCCGGAGGAACACCAGAGGCGAAGGCGGCGCGCUGGGCUGGCACCUGACGCUGAACCACGAAAGCCAGGGUAGCGAACGGG
rnacentral:rRNA from 1 species